CGCGUGCACUCCUGUAAAGCGCUACCGCACCCUUCCUCCCCCCUUCUCCCAUUUCAGCGCUCCACAGCUCACUCUCCUACACCCGCUCGACUGUCCACCCUAAUCACUCCACAUCGACUUACCUUUGUGUCUGCGCAUACCGUUACAUCCGCGUCUCUCGCUACCGCCAGCUGCAAUGCCCGUCUUGGAAACAGGUGAGCAGAGCGUGAAGUCAGCCUACCACUGCGCGACCCUGCUCGACAACUGGGAUGAGGACCGCCGUCAGUUCGGUCAGCCGGUCCCCGCCACCAGCGGCACUGGCGAUUUUGACCCAAGCACAACCUACAACGCAUCGUACAAGUCACUGACAGCCGCACAAACCGCGGAGGCGAAGCCGCCCGGCUGCUUUGCCGCCGAAGCGCCACGCAUGCUUCUCUUCCACCACGGCGACAUUGGCAACAUCGAGACCUACUGCUACGCAACGUCUGAGCUGGCGCUCCCGGACCGGAAAAGGCAAGUCUACACCAACGACGAAGUGCUCGACAUGCCCGGCGUCUCGACGCGUCGUAACAAGACGGCGGCGCUGCAGCGGUCUACGAUGGGCUUUACCGUCAGCUGCAGCGGGCACGGUGGCACCUUAACGAACGGCUUCUGCGCCGAUGAGGUUUCCGCAGCGGUGCAGCGAGAGGUAGCCUACCUCCAGUCCAUGGCCAGUACUAUGCUCUCCACCCGGUACUCCACAGGUGACGCGCAGACCUCCACAAGUGACUCUGGCGGCGAGAGGGCCGCGGCAAAUAGCGGAAGCAAAUACGCGCCACCGCGGCUGCUGCCAAUGGGCCGCGUUGCGGAGCGAGAGCGGUUGCUCACCACCAAAAACGUCUCUAUCGACGCCACUGGGGUGUACGUGUUUGACAACUUAGAGGCCUACCCGCUGACAAGCAGCCAGUGCGUCGGCAAGAUGACCAAGUCGUGCGACAACCCAAUGCACAAGACGUGCCUUCGCGUCCACUACAUGGAGGAUGACUACUAGCCGCAGGGAAAAGCGCCAGGGCUGUCGCGGUGCACACAGCGCGACUUCUGGCUGUUUUUUGUUUCGUCUGUGACGUGUCUCCGUGGAGCUUCACCCUUCGGCGCGCGGACCGUGCCCCCUCCUCGCGGGGUUCCGCAGAAGCCUCUCCCCGGGCUUGCAUGCCCUCUACCUCUCGUUGUUGUUGGUCUGCAUCGCCGCCUUUGGAGUGUGCGCCCGCUGUUGUGGCGUUUUUCCAGCAAUCUCUUUUUUGUCUGUGUUUAUUUGAUGUACACUACCUCACUGGGCCACAUUGGGCCUAUGUGAGUCGUGCCCCCCUUCUCAUGUGGUGUUUCCUUCAAGACUACUCUGUGCCGGUGCCCGUGCUACCGCGAAUGAAAGCGGAGAGCAGAAAUUCGGAAUGCCGCGUAUGUGCGGCUUCUGCUCUCCAUUAGAACCGCCUUCAUCUUCGCUUUCUUGAUAUGCGUAUGCCAAGAUCUUUCUCCGCCGCUUGGGCAAUACG
rnacentral:misc_RNA from 1 species